GCUGGGUGCUGUGGCACACGCCUGUAAUCCCAGCAGCUUGGGAGGCUGAGGCAGGAGGAUUGUGAGUUCAAAGCCAGCCUCAGAAAAAGUGAGGCCCUUAGCAACUCAGUGAGACCCUGUCUCUA
rnacentral:sRNA from 1 species